AUGCCGCGUGAGUGAUGAAGGCUUCGGGUUGUAAAGCUCUUUUGUCGGGGACGAUAAUGACGUACCCUAAGAAUAAGGUCCGGCUAACUUCGUGCCAGCAGCCGCGGUAAUACGAAGGGAGCUAGCGUAGUUCGGAAUUACUGGGCGUAAAGGGCGCGUAGGCCGUCUAGUUAGUUGAUCGUGAAAUGCCUGAGCUUAACUCAGGAACUGCGUUCAAUACUGUUCGGCUAGAGUGUGAUAGAGGAAGGCGGAAUACCUAGUGUAGAGGUGAAAUUCGUAGAUAUUGUGUAGAACACCGGUGGCGAAGGCGGCCUUCUGGGUCACAACUGACGCUGAGGCGCGAAAGUGUGGGUAGCAAAGAGGAUUAGAUACCCUGCGUAGUCCAUACCGUAAACUAUGAGUGCUAGAUGUUGGGGAGGCAUUUUCCAUUCGUCUGUCGUUACUGCAUGCAGGCAAAUCCGCCUGCUGAGUACUACCGUCAGGUUAUUACUCCUCUGAGUAGU
rnacentral:rRNA from 1 species